rnacentral:rRNA from 1 species
UCGACUGUUUACCAAAAACAUAGCCAAUAGAAAAAAUUAUUAAUGGUGAUGCCUGCUCAAUGAUUGAAUAAUAACCAUUAAAAACAAUUAAAUAGCCGCGGUAACACCUGACCGUGCAAAGGUAGCACAAUAAAUCGCCUACUAAUUAUAGGAUAGAAUGAAGGUAAAACGAAGAUCUUACUGUCUCAAGACCAUAAAAUUUAAAAUAGAAUGUGUGUGUAAAUCCACACUAAGACAGCAAGACGAUAAGACCCUAAGAACUUUACCUAAAGUUUAAAUAAAACAAAAACUCCUAAACUCUAAGUUUCGUUGGGGCAACGAUCUUUAAAAAAGUAACUAAGAUUAACCAAUCAAUAAAAACAAAGAAUAUGAAAAUAGAAAAAGAUAAGACCCAUUAAAURAAAAAAUUAAUGAUAACAUAAUAAAAGUUCCUUAGGGAUAACAGCGUUAUAUCGUUUCAAGAGAACCAUCCAAACGAUGUUUGCGACCUCGAU